AACAGGCUAUUCUAUGACAAAAGCCGUGUAAAAACGAAGGGGGUAAAUAUCGUGUACCGAAGAGUUUGUAGCGCACAACAAUUUUUAGGUUUCUCCAAUAAACUUUGUCCCGCCCGAUUUAGAACAAAAUUAGGGUUUCAAGGAUACUCGGAAUUCUUUUGGAAAAUUCAGUUUGUAAUAUGUUGUAUGUUAUUCUGCUAGAGGAAGGGGGUGCGACUAUGUCAACAUGUUUUUGCCGACUGCUUUUGUAUUUGCGAUUUAUACUGAAGGUUAUUCUACUAAAGGAAGGGGUUAUGGCAACUACAGCAUGUUUUGUUAUUGUUAGCAAGAAUGACAUUCCCGUUUAUGAAGCUGAAGUUGGCUCUGCUCUCAGAAAAGAAGAUGCUGCUCACCAGCACCAAUUUAUUUUACAUGCAGCGUUGGAUGUUGUUCAAGACCUUGCAUGGACUACUAGCGCUAUGUUCUUGAAGACGGUGGAUAGGUUCAACGAUCUGGUGGUGUCUGUAUAUGUUACUGCUGGUCAUACACGAUUGAUGCUACUUCAUGACUCGAGAAGUGAAGAUGGGAUCAAAAGCUUUUUUCAAGAUGUCCAUGAGCUGUAUAUAAAGAUUCUUCUGAAUCCCCUCUAUAUUCCUGGAUCACGCAUAACAUCAUCUCAUUUUGAUACGAAAGUCAGGGCCCUAGCAAGAAAGUAUCUGUAGUAACCCAAUUUUCAUUGUCACCGGUGAAGAUGAAGAUAAUAUUUGUGAAAAGUGGAACUUGGGAUAGGUGGUAGUCUCCUCAGUUGCUUCUGACGACGUUUGUCUUCAACAUCCUUCAUUCUGAUUCUCGUGUUGUGUUUAAUCUUGUUGUACAAUUUCUUUUUCAAAAGCAUAUACGGCGGAGCAGAAAUGUUUGUAAUACCUAUCUUGAGUUUGAACAACUCUGUUUCUUAACAGAAGUCAUUUUCUUCUAGGUUUCUGUAGGAAAACUUCAGCGUGCCAACUGCGCAAUUUGGGGGCAUGGAACAAGAUUGAAUAUCAUAUUGGUUCUUGGCAAUCGGUGUUUGUAAGAUUGAUUUCUUCAUUUUUCUCGUUUGGUUAUUCGUUUGAACCUUCCAAAUCCUCAUAAAUGGGCUUGAAAGAUUCAUUCUCUACCCAAUAGCAUUGUGAAACCUAAAUUUUCUUUUACCAUGCAAAGGAACG